UGUCCGAUCCCUAUCCUGAUUUAAGGCAUCCACUUCUUCUUCUUCCUCCUCCUCAACUCAAUCAGCAAACCUAAGGUUGCCAUUGCUGAGCAGGCGCUAGGUUCUCGUCUCUCCCUUUAGCUACUUUUCUGCUCCCAAGUAAAGCUAGUUGUAGUGAUUCCAACAGUAUGAAUGUAAAUUCAGCAACCCCUUCUGGUGUCACUUCUUCUGCUCUCACAAGAUUCAACCCGAUGAGCGCUGCUGAGAGAGACGCAAGGGAUGCGAUUUCUCAUAGAACAUCGGAUGCUUUGGAGUUGUUGAAAGGGAGGGAACUGCAGGCUCAGCGUGUGUGUAGGGACGGCCAUACUUUCAUAUGGUCUGAGCUGGAUACGAGAAAACGCAGCUCCUGCCAUGGCCACGGUGCUCUCGUUCCUUUCGCCACUACCACGGGAAUCGCUUUUUCUUUCUUUUCCUCUGGCUACAAAGAUGUUUCAGUUCACCAGGUUGUCUCUUGCCUGCCCAUGGAUUAAGCAGCAAUUCGAAAGGUUACAGAGUGCAGACAUUCAUAAGUGGAAUUGUACAACGAAAACUAAAAGGGUAUGUGAAAACUAGAAAGUCUGCUUUGCUUUAUUGGAUCAAAACACCAAAAGUAACAACGGGGUUGUGUUGAGAUCAUUGCUCUUCGAUCAUUUCUCUCAACUUAUCAUAUUAAAUUGUUUGGUUUGGGAUUGUAUUAUAACAUUACGGGCUCGUCUGAUAUAAAUAAUUGGAUUGAAAUGGAUAAGGAUUGUAUUAUAACA